UACGUGAGCCCCAAGCGUUACCCGGAUUUACUGGGCGUAAAGGGUGUGUAGGCGGUCGUGUUAGUCGCUUGUUAAAGACCGAGGCUUAACCUCGGGAGGGCGGGCGAAACGGCACGACUUGAGGGCGGCAGAGGCGCAUGGAACUCAUGGUGUAGGGGUGAAAUCCGUUGAUAUCAUGGGGAACACCGAAAGCGAAGGCAGUGCGCUGGGCCGUUCCUGACGCUGAGACACGAAAGCCAGGGUAGCGAACGGG
rnacentral:misc_RNA from 1 species